UUUACCCGUACCCUGGAAUAGAAAGUAUGUUUAUAAUAGAUCUUCGGCAUCCUUCUCUCCAACAACUCCCCACUAUAUUGUUUGGGUGAUUCGAACUCACAAUCUCUUUGUUAGAAGUGGGAGGUGCUUGCUAUCCUACCAACCCACCUUGUCAAAAAGCUGCAGGUGUUUGAUAAAAAUCCUCUUUCGGCUUUUAUUGUGUUUUCCUUUGUUCAAAGCUUCAUCUAUACUUAAAUUAUGUCCCAAGUGUAAGGAAAAACACCAAUUCCUCAAAGUUAAAAACUUCAUGCAACAGAACUUGUUGAAACUUUGAUACGUUAGCAUCCACUUCCAAAUAAUUCCACAUAUGUUUGCAAUAACUAAAAAACAACGAAAAAAGGAAAGAGGACAGCAUGAAUUGCCCCAAAAGCCAGCAGACCUCACCUAACAAUUCAACGAAAUUAAAGCAGUUAGCCUCUUUCAAUUCACAUCUACCACAAAGAGCAGGUUCCAUAGUUGCAUAUUAUCUGGAUUGAGGCGCAGUUAUUAUUGUUGUGUUUUAGUAUUUGGUGUUAUUCACGUCGUAUUGGCACCUAAAUGAUGAUUAAUGGUUACAGACUUGUGCACUUAUGUAGUCAUGUGAAAAGGAACCUGAAUGUAGUGUAAGAAAUUGUGAAACUUUGACCUCCAAGAUGAAAUGACCUUGUUCUUGUCCUAAUAUUCACAAUUCUCUGUGCGGAACUUAUUAGGACAUCCUAUUUAUGGUUUUACCUCAAUGUACACUGUGAUUGGUGAAU